rnacentral:rRNA from 1 species
UACGGAGGGUGCGAGCGUUGUCCGGAAUCACUGGGCGUAAAGGGCGCGUAGGCGGCCUGAUAAGUAGGGGGUGAAAUCUUGCGGCUUAACCGCAAGGCUGCCUUCUAAACUGUCAGGCUAGAGCACAGUAGAGGCAGGUGGAAUUCCCGGUGUAGCGGUGGAAUGCGUAGAGAUCGGGAAGAACAUCAGUGGCGAAGGCGGCCUGCUGGGCUGUUGCUGACGCUGAGGCGCGAAAGCGUGGGUAGCGAACAGG